UACAGAGGGUGCGAGCGUUGUUCGGAAUCACUGGGCGUAAAGCGCACGUAGGCGGAUGUGCCAGUCAGGGGUGAAAUCCCGGAGCUCAACUCCGGAACUGCCUCUGAUACAGCACGUCUUGAGUUCGAGAGAGGUGGGUGGAAUUCCUAGUGUAGAGGUGAAAUUCGUAGAUAUUAGGAAGAACACCGGUGGCGAAGGCGGCCCACUGGCUCGAUACUGACGCUGAGGUGCGAAAGCGUGGGGAGCAAACAGG
rnacentral:rRNA from 1 species